AUGUGUGGCUGUAUGCACAGUACCCAGGACCAAGCACUCCACUUGGAAGGGGAGCCCAAUCCUUCUGCAGCCGCAACAUCUACUUUAGCACCUAGGACAAUGCCCAGAAGCAUUUCCAUAUCCAAACAACUGGCUUCAAUAAAAGCUCUAUGCAAGGGUUCAGAUCUGGAAAAAGCCAUCGCCACUGCCGCUAUGAUUUUCAGAAACUUUUCUGACCCUGAUGGUAAACUUGGGAAAGCUACUGCCAAAAAUCUACUGCAAACCCAAUUUAGGAAUUUCACAGAGGGACAAGAAACCAAACCAAGAUACAAAGACCUCCUUUCUGAACUCGACGAACAUACAGAAAAUAAGCUGGAUUUUGAGGAUUUCAUGAUCUUACUGUUAAGCAUCACUGUAAGGUCUUCUCUGCACUCGUUUCUCCCCUGCUCUGUGUCCAGGACAGCUGACCUGUGUGGAUGGCACUAACAGGCAACCUUGCCUUCUGGCUUCUUGUUGGAUUAGGCCAAUGACCUCCGAGGUGAUGGGAGGGUGGUGGAGUGUGAGACUUCUCCAUAGAGCCCCUCCUUCUGUUUCCGGUAGCUGCUCCAUCUCUUGCCCCUUCUGGUCUGGAGGUGGUCAUGGGUAGCUGUGGGGACCGUCCCAUCUCAUGCUGGUUCGCCUCAACCCUGCCAACAUCUAUAUUAAGAAGCAGAGGCUCAGAGAUGUUAAGUUACUUUCCCAGGUCACAGAGCUUCCGGCUGGACUUCGAUUUGAGCUCUGGCAGCAAGGGAAGAUGGACUGCUGGAGAGCCGGACUGGGAGGUCAGAUAGAAGACCCUGCAGUGAUGCAG